rnacentral:rRNA from 1 species
GGGGAAUCUUGCGCAAUGGGCGAAAGCCUGACGCAGCAACGCCGCGUGGGGGAUGAAGGCCUUCGGGUUGUAAACCUCUUUCACCAUCGACGAAGCCCUUUGGGGUGACGGUAGGUGGGGAAGAAGCACCGGCUAACUACGUGCCAGCAGCCGCGGUAAUACGUAGGGUGCGAGCGUUGUCCGGAUUUAUUGGGCGUAAAGAGCUCGUAGGCGGUUUGUCGCGUCGGCCGUGAAAACCUACAGCUUAACGGUGGGCUUGCGGUCGAUACGGGCAGACUUGAGUUCGGCAGGGGAGACUGGAAUUCCUGGUGUAGCGGUGAAAUGCGCAGAUAUCAGGAGGAACACCGGUGGCGAAGGCGGGUCUCUGGGCCGAUACUGACGCUGAGGAGCGAAAGCGUGGGGAGCGAAC